UGCUUGCCAGGCCUUUAACUGAUCCCUUGAGGACACACACUAGCAUGUCCUUGAACACGGACGAUCCGUUUGGUUUAUCAGAUUCAUUUAGCACGUUAGGACUUGGCCUAGACCCCAAUCUCAAUGGGGGCCCCAGACGUCUAGUGUUACAAUCUGCCCCGCAACCCUGCACUAAAGUCAUAUGCUCUUUUAACUUGAAGUCUCUUUUUAAAAGACCCUAACUAUAAAACCCAACCUAGAAUAACUAACUAUAUAUCCUCUCAACUCGCUUUACUUGAAACAAUAAUAAUGUACAAUAGGUAGCUUUCUAUCUAUUUGAAUCAACACUAAUUUACUCUAUCUCUAUUUUCAUCUACACUCGCAGUCUCCUUAAGAUUAGAGAUUGCAUUCCUCUCGUCUGCAAUCAGACACUAAGCUUUCCCUGUCUUGGAACUGUCAAAGCGCCAAUCACGUUCAUCCUGCUAAAACAGCCCACAGAGAUUGAUGCCUUUUGACAGAUGUCAUCGCAGCGGCCGCUCUCUGAAACCGUGAAAUGUUGCCCGCAGACGUGCCGAUGAGGGCACAGCUGAGGCAAUAAGGCAAUGAACCCCUGAGAAACCCCACACCCACGUCACAUGACCAGCUGUCAAUCACACAGGCCCUGCCCUACACCAUGCUGGCCAUUACGUCAUCGGAGGUCGCUGAACAUUCAGUGUCCAGUUCGAAAGUCAUGUCGGGUCAGGUUUAUUUUCUCAGAGGUCGAAUUGCCCCACAUCCCCCUAACUCUACAUUCAAAGAUUCAAAGGUUUUUAUUUCUCACAUACUCACGCAGGAUGUGCGGUGAAAUGUUGGUGUGACAUACUCUGCAUUUUGGUGCUUAAAAUAUCAAUAAAAUAUCAAUAUCAAUACACAAGAAAGAUAAAGUAUUGAGUUAUUAAGUUAUUGCAAGUAUGUUAAGUUAUUGUAUAUUAUGCGCGUGAAGUUAUGUAAGAGUUGUGAAAUGAAGAAUAUUAUAAAUAGAUAUAAAAUCAAAACUAGGUCCCCCUAACUCUCGGUCCUCAGAACUUUAGGUCUUCAGAACUCUAAGUCCUACUAACAUGGUCAUGUAAUUUAUCUAAUUACUUGUAACACUAAGGUCCUCAUAACUCAAUGAAUGAUGGGUUAGCUAGAUGGACCAAUCACGGAGAGAUGUCCCUUCGAUGGCUUUAUGAUGUGAUAUCCUUUCAGAAAUAUCAGAUGAGCUUGAUGAUUAACACCCAAUGCAGCCCGGAGUAGAGCUUCAACCAUAGGCGCAGCGGCCAUAUACAUUGGGGGGUACAAGUCCCCCCCAAUGUUCAGAUAUGUCCAAAAUGUCCCCCCCAAUAAAUCGCUGGGAAUAGGGAUAAAGCAAUUCAAUAUUUCUAUGGGUAGAACACUUAGGUUUUCCCUGAAGUACACACCGUUCGCUGAACGCAUUUCUGCACAGAGUGCGCGCCGCACACCCUAAAUAACUCAAUCCGAUUCCAUCUACAGCUCUUACAGCCAAUGAGAAUAUGGCUGUUCGGGCUAGCUAGCCAAUGGGAUAGAUCCAUGAUUUGAUUCGUCCCCGCACGUGCGGCUCGGUGACGGUGACUUGUCACUCGAUUGCAUUGGUCAUCAACCGUCUUUUUUACAUGACCACGGAAUCAAAAACAUCAACAACAGCAAAUGAGUGGCGUGUUACGAUCGAAAACACAGUCGUCAUGAGCAAGAGGAAGCAAGAGGGUUGCAGAGACAUUCGGCAAUGUUUUGCCUCGUCUCAGAAAAUAAGCAAAGUAAGUAAAGAGGGGUGAUAAAAUGAGAAGUGUUAACCUAUCAGUUGUAGCAUUACAGUACAGUAGAGUUAAUAGACUACAAAAAACUAGUCAUAGAAUUAUUGUCAUUCAGAUCAAAAGUGGUUUGUUGACUAUCUGAGAAAGGAACAGUACUUGUUAUCUGAUAAUAUUUCUUCCCUGUGGCAUAUCCACUUUGGUGGAUGAAAGGAUAAAAGCAGUGUGUGUCAAUCUGGUAGUGACAUAGAGGUGAGUAGCCUAGAGGAGUUCUGGAAACUAGUAGAGCCUUGUCUUUUCCUAUGUUGCAAUUUGUAAGUUACUUUGGAUAAAAGCGUCUGCAAAAUGAUUGUCAAAGAGUAAAUAUUAAUGGUUUAAACCGAAUUGUGACAUUAGAGCAGAAUCCUGUUGGCAGUGGCACUGAUGUCUAUAGUGUGUUUCAGUAGUCUACUGGUAAAUAGUUUGCUGAUAUCUGUGAUAUUAUUCCUUCCAUGUUUCCUCUGUUGUGUUCAGAGUAGAGCUAGUGAGCCAGCGGGAGAGACAGAAAGUUUGGAGGAUGAAAUCACAGGGAGAGUUUGUCAAUCUAGUGGUGGCAUAGAGGUGAGUCGCCUAAGAGAGGAGUAAUAUGAAAGGUUAAGACCGAAUAAUGACAUUCAAGCAGAAUCCUGUUAGCACACAUGUAUAUAGUGUAGGGUUGUCAAAAAAAUUUAUACUCAGAUACUAAUCGAUUAAAAUUAAAAAAAAUAAUAUCGGAUUAGAUACUUAUGUGCAACAGUAUCGAUACUAAAAUCACUGUCUUCAUCAUCUUCAUCUCUUUUUUUUCUCGCCUCCUUCAGUUGACACACAACUUUACACAGCAGCGUUGCAGUUGCUAAUAUAGCAAUAUAAUAAUUAUCAAGUCAAGUUUCAUUCAAGGUUACAAAACAUUGUAUAAUGUAUGUAUUCAUAGAUUAAUCCAUAACUAAUCAGAAAACAUUUAGGUUAUGUCCUUGACAUGUCUAAUUCUUUAACAGUGCAUCAUUCAAUACGGCUAAUGGUUCCACCAUGAGAUUAGCUCAGUGUGCUCUCUCGUGAAACUCAUCGAUGUACUUAUUAAACAAGUGGUUGAAAAUAUCAGAAAAAAAUCAAUGUUUUCUGAGGGGUAACAAAAGUUUUGGGGUGACUUCUAUUUAGGUCCAUGAGAUAGAUGCACCUGGGUGGGUUUUACUCAACAUUGGCAAAUGUGAUGGUUAUGCAAUAAGAAAUGUAAUGGAAGUAAGAACUGGCUGGAUUUUGUGUCUUUGUUGUGGUGGUGCAGGUGUUUGUUUGUGUGUGUUUUGUAAAAAA